GUUGGUGGGGUUUGGGAGAGAGAGAGCUUGUGGGGGAAAUGGACGGGUUGUUUUUUUUCGAGUGAUGGAUAGCACGCAACCUGUUUUCGUUUAUUUUGUUUAGAAAUUUAGAAAUAAAUUAGCUGAAAAUGUGAAUCAAUUAGAAUUCGGCCUUGGGUCUCAGCUAUUAACCAUCAAGUUCUUUGCCACUUGCUCUAGAAACAGUCGGUAAAUGGAGGGGGUUGUUGCAGCGACGGUUACAUAGAGAGAGAAGGAGAGAGAGUCUGAUUACUGUCCUAGGACUACCAAAUUUUUCACUCCUUAAAUUAUAUUAUUCAAUUAAUUACUUACUCAAUUUUAAAAAAUUACUAUCAUUUUAACCGUACAUCUCUUAAUUCAAAAUUCGAAAAUCUAAUAAUACA
rnacentral:lncRNA from 1 species